rnacentral:rRNA from 1 species
GUCUACAUGCCACCCUGAACACACCCGACCUCAUCUGAUCUUAGAAGCUAAGCAGGGUUGGGCCUGGUUAGUACUUGGAUGGGAGACCACGUAGGAAGACUGGGUGCUGUAGGCG